rnacentral:rRNA from 1 species
UACGUAGGGGGCGAGCGUUGUCCGGAUUUAUUGGGCGUAAAGAGCGCGUAGGCGGCCUGCCAAGUCGUGCGUGAAAUACCCCGGCUCAACCGGGGGGAGUCGUGCGAUACUGGUGGGCUCGAGGCCGGCAGGGGGAAGCGGAAUUCCCGGUGUAGUGGUGGAAUGCGUAGAUAUCGGGAGGAACACCAGUGGCGAAGGCGGCUUCCUGGACCGGUCCUGACGCUGAGGCGCGAAAGCGUGGGGAGCGAAC